rnacentral:rRNA from 1 species
AAAUGAAUUGACGGGCACCCGCACAAGCGGUGGAGCAUGCUGUUUAAUUCGAAGGUACGCGAAGAACCUUACCAGGGCUUGACAUGCCGAUGACCGGUCUGGAAACAGAUCUUUCUCCCUCGGGAGACAUCGGACACAGGUGGUGCAUGGUUGUCGUCAGCUCGUGUCGUGAGAUGUUUGGUUAAGUCCAAUAACGAGCGCAACCCCUCUCCUUAGUUGCUAACAUUAAGUUGAGAACCCUAAGGAUACUGCCGGUGAUAAACCGGAGGAAGGUGGGGAUGAGGUCAAAUCAUCAUGCCCCUUACGUCCUGGGCUACAGGCGUGCUACAAUGGCCGGUAUAGAAAGAUGCAAUAUCGUAAGAUGGAGCAAAUCUCAAAAGCCGGUCUCAGUUCGGAUUGUGGUCUGCAACUCGACCACAUGAAGUUGGAAUCGCUAGUAAUGGCAAAUCAGAAUGUUGCCGUGAAUACGUUCCCGGGUGUUGUACACACCGCCCGU